AUGGAUGCCUGCUGCAGUGGAGAUGAGCAAUGGAUGUCACUGUGGACGAGAGCUUCAGACUGUCAUCUUGUUACAGCUCUUUCUAAUGAUGUGACCCCAGCUCAAAUCCUUGGCCUGCAGCAUGCAACCAAGACCAGGGCAGCUUGUGACUCCUCUUGGCCGUGGAGCUCGGAGCCCUUGAUGGUGAAAUCUGAGGAUGGAGCCCCAGAGGUAACCUCGCCUUGUGUGGUAACCGUGACCAACAGGUGGCCAAAGCUGCUGGAGCACCCUCAUGUCAUGCAUCCACCAAGGAGCCACAUCGUGGUGCAGUGGCUUGGCACGGUGAAGGACAAUAUCAAGAGCUGUUGGCCACCAGGAUGGGGAGAAAGAAAAGGUGCCCUUCUUCACAAAAUGGAGCGUGUUGCAACUGCCUGCAGAGCUGGCUUACACAGUGAUGGGGGCGUACUUACAUUACCAAACAUCGUGAUGACAAGCAUCUUGGGAUCUUCCAAGGCAGUAUUGUUAAGUAAAUCAACAAGCGGCUUAAUGCUCAACAUGUGAAGAUGAGGAAAUUAAAGCACAGGGAGGUUAGAAGCUUACAUUUUCCAAGCUGGGCAGCUAAAG
rnacentral:lncRNA from 1 species